AAGUCGUAACAAGGUUUCCGUAGGUGAACCUGCGGAAGGAUCAUUAAUGAAUUACAAGUCGGUCCUCUGUGCUGGUGGAAACACAUGUGCACGUUGAUCGCAAAUCCACACACCUGUGCACCUUUGACUCUGGGGUUCGCUUGCUGGCUUGUCUGGCUUGCAGUUGGUCGACUUUUGUUGGCCUGGAUCUCGGGGUAUUUUUACACACUCUGAAUGUAAUGGAAUGUCUCUGUGCAUAACGCGCAUAAUAACAACUUUCAACAACGGAUCUCUUGGCUCUC
rnacentral:misc_RNA from 1 species